rnacentral:lncRNA from 1 species
AAACUUUUAAUCUUCUGCAGAGCUAGGGUUGAAUCAACUAAACUAACCAAUAUACUAACUCUUAUGAACUUUAAGAAAGUAUAAACUAAUAUUCCUAUCUUAUAGGAAUUCCUCUACUUGAGAAAGUUUAAAGUAAACAAAUCCAUUUCAUAGAGAUCAGUUUACAACUAACCAUACAUGUAAAACAUAAAAUCCCAAAGUAAUUAAUCAUAUAAACAUAAUUAUAUCCAUCAACUAUCAUAUUAACAAGCUUAGUAAUCAAUAAUCCUUAAUAGGUAAUUAGAACAAUAAAACCUUAAUUUGAGUUUAGUAGUUUAGGAUCUCCAUUAACUACCAAUCACAAGUUUAAGAAACAUACCCAUUUGAAUCCUAACUUUGAAAAAAUUAUAUAAAAUCAACCACUUCAAAGAAAAAAAUAUAAACCUCACUUCUUUAGAAAGCUAUUAACGUCUAUAUUUCUCAGAAAUUUACAAAAACACAAUAUCUCAAGUGGAUAAGAAGUUAUAUGACCAAAGACAGAAUCUGCCGCUGAACUCUGCUGCUCCGUGCAGUACAUUUCAGAAAAUAGUUUGACAUGUCUAUUGGUCUCGGAUUUAGCUGAAAUUUUGCAGAGAACGACUACACAUGAUGAAGUUAUUACAGUAAAAAUUUCAAGUUAUUUGGACUACGAAAACAUCAUCAAAAGUACCCCGAAACAUACUGCCCUGUCAAGCCGAAAACUGACAGCAAAGCCCCUUUGUUUCAACUUAACAUAUAAUUCAUACGUUUGUCAAAUACAAACCAUAGGAACUCAAUUACAUCAUCUUACUACACAUUAGCAUGCUUUAGCUUGAAAUUUAACUCAUGUUUAACUCAUCAACACAAAGCAAGCAAGUUAUAACACAAUUAAUCACCACAACUUCUCCAAUCAAUACUAAAAGUAGUUCUUCCCUUAUUCAUAAAUCAAAAUUGGCUCAACACAUAGUAACAUGCCCAAUAUCCCCCAAUUUUUAUCACAUAAUCACAUUCCACGCUCCCAAGAGUUCAAUUACAUAAGCAUCAAAUAUUUAGCUAUCUUACCUCAAGAAUGCCCAAAUUCACUUAUGAACAAGCAAGGAGAGCCACAACUCCACUAGGGUUAACUAGUACACAACAACAUCAUUUGAAUUUACCCCAUAGAACAUAAAGAGGAAGAAGGGCUUAGCUUUAGGUGAUUAAGGGAAGGCAGCGGUCCCUGUUCCAUGGGGGUGAGCCGUGGAUCGACGCCGAGCGACGAGAAGAUGGGAAUUGCCAGGAACAGCAGCGGCGUAACUUUCGCUGCUAGAAUCCAGAACACGGCGAUGGCGAUUAACGAGGAAGUGCAGCUAGGGCUCAGCCUAGAAGAAGACCCCACCCUCCCUUGAGUUGUAAAGAGAGAGAACCGAGGAGGGAGCAACGGUGGCGCGUCGAUUCCCGGCCAAGAAAGACGCAGCAUCAUCGAACCAGAGCAACGGCAGCUUCCGCUUCGUCGGGAGAGAUGAGACGUCGCGGCACGUCGAGCAAGCUCCGAGCAGUGGCGCUAUUGGAUAACCUCUUGUAUAAUUGGAGUGCCUCUUGAAAUCAAAGAAAUUAAAAA